rnacentral:lncRNA from 1 species
GCACAAAGCAUUUUUGGGACAGAGAAGUCAUUUCAGCACUUCCAGUUGGGAGCCGCGGGCCGGACGUGGAGGGUCUGCUCCCCAGGACAGCGAGGAAGGGGAGACGGAGCCAUCCCCCGGCCUGGGUGAGAGGAAGAUGAAGGUCCUGCUGAUGGUGGCAGUGCUGUUUGCCUGCAGUGUGUUCACAGCUCAUGGGAAGCUCCCGCACACGUUUGCACCAGGACUCGAGGGGAGCACCGUAGGAAAUGUGACCCAUGGCUGCCCCUCGGGAUGGGGCACGUCGAGGGCUUCAAUGGACCGGUGCUGCCGGCUCCGUGCCUGCUGCUACGCCAGGCUGGCGGCACGGCGCUGCCGCGUGGGACCCGUCCAGCCCUCCUCCGUGCCCCAGGCAGGAGCCCGCAGCUGCAGCUCCGGGACCUGGUGCCAGAGGGGCGCCUGCCGAUGCGAGCGGGCAGCCCUGCUCUGCCGCAUGCGGAGCCGGGGGCAGCUCCGGAGCCGCAGCAAGUGCCGGGGCCGAGGCGGGCGGUGCUGAGGCCGAAGGGCUCCUUGCAUUGAACCUGGCUGAUGGGCGAGCAAGAGCAGCGAGCCCACGGGUCUCCUCCGUGGGGCUUUCUGGCUCCCACACGAGCACGAGCACCCUCUGGGGCAGUUCCAUCCAUGCACACCGGGUCCGAGGAGGGAGAGCAGCUCAGGUGCGAUGUCUCAGCACAGAGAACCAAGGGAGGGGUGGGCACCCGCUCCUCAUGGCUGCGAAGGGCGAGGUGGAAGCCAGAGCAUCUCCCCUUGGCUCCUGCGCAGCCUCUCGGCUCCCUCUGCUUUUCGCUUCCCUGCACGUUCCCUUCGGCUGCUCCCAAAUAAAACCAG